rnacentral:rRNA from 1 species
AUUGAACGCUGGCGGCAUGCCUUACACAUGCAAGUCGAACGGUAACGGGCCUUCGGGUGCCGACGAGUGGCGAACGGGUGAGUAAUGCAUCGGAACGUACCUUUCAGUGGGGGAUAACGUAGCGAAAGUUACGCUAAUACCGCAUAUUCUGUGAGCAGGAAAGCAGGGGAUCGCAAGACCUUGCGCUGAUUGAGCGGCCGAUGUCAGAUUAGCUAGUUGGCGAGGUAAAGGCUCACCAAGGCGACGAUCUGUAGCGGGUCUGAGAGGAUGAUCCGCCACACUGGAACUGAGACACGGUCCAGACUCCUACGGGAGGCAGCAGUGGGAAUUUUGGACAAUGGGGGCAACCCUGAUCCAGCCAUGCCGCGUGAGUGAAGAA